AUGGAAACUGGGAGGCAGCUCGCGGCCCCGGCAACCCCUCCCAGGGGUGGGGAAACCAAGCACGUUAUUCUGUCGGGAGCGGGCUCGGCGACAGCCCGGGCGCUGCGACCCCGCGCCGGCGCGCCUGGCAGCCGAACCGAGUCCGCAGCCCCCGCGCGAGGCUGCCGGGGCCGCCCGGGCCGAGGGGCGCGGGGCGGCUCGCGGGCUGCGCGGCCGGGGGCUCCCCGCUCCCUCCUGCCCCAUAGGAGCCAGGCCCGGGCGAGGAGGGCCGCCGGGGGCGGCGGAGCGCGUCUCAGGGCCGCGGGGAGAGCGCCACAGACACUUGUUUGCAAGGCUCAGCCCGGCGCGCGCGCGGCGCUCCGAGCGGGUCCGCCUCCUCCCGGCCGGGUGGGCGGUGGCCCGCGCCUCGCGGGCUGGGCUCCUCCUCCGGCUCCUCCUCCUCGCCGGCGAUGCUCGGCAGGGCCCCCGCCCCAGUCCCUUCCCGGCGGGCCCGUGCGGCCCCGGGGAAGGCGCUGGGGUCCUCUGGCAUCGCCCGGGGACGGCUCGGGUCGGGCGCCCGCGGCCUCGCCGCGUUGCGCGCUCUCCAACAGACUUCUGUCCGCCUCCCGGUUUCUGCUCCGGGUUUAUUCCCGGCAACAGCGGCCGCCUCGGGACACACAUUCACACUGCCACCCGCAAACCCAUUCUUGCGACUCCCGGGGACCUGAGGAAGCGGCGCGGAGAGGGCACUUCGAAGUAGCUGUGACUCUGGGAAUCCAAGCGGAUAUUGGGACCAAUUUAAGAGGCUCUGAGAGUGGCAUCCUGGGGGACGCAAGCACCACGUGGGUUCUCAGCCAGCCCAGAGUCCCUCCUUAUGGCAUGUGCUUCUCGCUCCUGUUUCCUGACUUUCCAAGAGCGCUGUCACUGGAUAGCCUGCUGGAGACUUUGGGGGAGAGCAAAGACGAGGAGCAUCAAGGAGACCACACUCUUUUUCUCUAAGCAGUCUCGGGAGAACAGAAUUCCAAGCGUUAAAGUGGAUGGUGUGGAUUUUAGAGGUGUAAACUGUGAGAGCAAGGCAGGGAGAAGACCUUCCUCAAGUGGAACCACCAGCAUCAGCACCACCUGGGAACUGGUUAGAGGUGCCAGUUCUCAGGCCCCACCUUAGCCCUGCUGAACCAAACACUCCGGGAUGGGGGCCCAGCAACGUGUUCAUAAGCCCUUCCAGGAACCGAGACCCCUUGUCCAGUUCAGGCCUGCUGAGACCACCAACCCAUCAACUGGGCCUGUGCAAGUGCUGGGUGGAAUUUUCCUUGGUACUGUUGCUGCAGCUGGAAUGCUGGCUGGAUUUGUAACAACGUUGUCAUUGGCUAAAAAGAAAAGCCCUGAAUGGUUCAAUAAGGGAAGCGUGGCCACGGCCGCCUUACCGGAGAGUGGCUCUUCCCUUGCCUUGCGAGCCCUGGGCUGGGGCUCCCUUUACGCGUGGUGUGGGGUUGGCGUGAUCAGCUUCGCAGUCUGGAAAGCCUUAGGAGUUCACAGUCCGCAGCUCCUGCAGCAGUGCCCAGCGCAGAGGAGGUGUUUGGUGAGCAUCUCGUGGAGGGAAUCUGACCGCUCUGCUUCUGCCAUUUCAGUGGCUCCCUCUUCCCUUGAGAAGAGAGUCCAAGCUCCCGAAAUGGUUUGAGUCCCUCUGGGAUCUGGCCCCUGCUUGUUAUUUAACUCACUGGGUCUCAGCGGGGGACAAUUUUGACCACCCCUCUUCCCAGAAGAAAGAUAUUUGGUGAUGUCUGGAGACAUUUUGCCUGUCAUAACUGCCGGGGUGCUGCUGGCAUCUGGUAGAGGCCAGGGAUGCUGCUGAGCAUCUGACAACGCCUAGACAGCCCCCACAAAGAAUGAUCUGGUCCCGAAUGUCAGUGGUGCUACAGUUGAGAGUUGAGCCAUUUCUCUCAUAAGCCUUGUCACACUCAGAGUCCCAGCCAUGUGGAAAGGCCCUGUUCUUCCUAGCCUCUGAGCCUUGUCCUUGCUGAUCCCCCACCCGGAGCCCUCCUUCCUCUGCCUGCUGUUCCCCGCUGCUGACUCUCUUCUCUGCCUCCACGGAGUCCUGAGGCAGAUUGACUUUGAACCUUUACAACAUGGAGUUAAUCUGUUUUGGCAGUUUGGGGUUUAUACAGAUAACUUAUGUUUCUACCUCAAAUUGAAAGUAACUUCCAUACACAAAUGUAUUUUUCAUGUCAAUUUUUUAGAUGAAUAAAGCUGCUGUUACUGAGGA